rnacentral:rRNA from 1 species
UGGGUGAUCUGCCCUGCACUUCGGGAUAAGCCUGGGAAACUGGGUCUAAUACCGGAUAUGACCUUGGGAUGCAUGUCCUUUGGUGGAAAGCUUUUGCGGUGUGGGAUGGGCCCGCGGCCUAUCAGCUUGUUGGUGGGGUUAAGGCCUACCAAGGCGACGACGGGUAGCCGGCCUGAGAGGGUGACCGGCCACACUGGGACUGAGAUACGGCCCAGACUCCUACGGGAGGCA